UAAGGAAUAUUGGUCAAUGGGGGGAACCCUGAACCAGCCAUGCCGCGUGCAGGAAGACGGCCCUACGGGUUGUAAACUGCUUUUGCACGGGAAUAACCCUCAUUAUGUAUAAUGAGCUGAAUGUACCGUGAGAAUAAGGAUCGGCUAACUCCGUGCCAGCAGCCGCGGUAAUACGGAGGAUCCGAGCGUUAUCCGGAAUUAUUGGGUUUAAAGGGUGCGCAGGCGGGGAUCUAAGUCAGGGGUGAAAGACGGUGGCUCAACCAUCGCAGUGCCUUUGAUACUGGAUUCCUUGAAUAUACCUGAGGUAGGCGGAAUGUGGCAAGUAGCGGUGAAAUGCAUAGAUAUGCCACAGAACACCGAUUGCGAAGGCAGCUUACCAAAGUAUGAUUGACGCUGAGGCACGAAAGCGUGGGGAUCGAACAGG
rnacentral:rRNA from 1 species